rnacentral:rRNA from 1 species
ACGAAGGGAGCUAGCGUUGUUCGGAAUUACUGGGCGUAAAGGGCGCGUAGGCGGUUUGGUAAGUUGGAUGUGAAAGCCCAGGGCUCAACCCUGGAACUGCAUUCAAAACUGCUUGACUUGAAUUCGGUAGAGGUUGGUGGAAUUCCCAGUGUAGGGGUAAAAUUCGUAGAGAUUCGGAGGAAUAGCGAUUGCGAAGGCGAGCUACUGGACCAUUAUUGACGCUGAGAUGCGAAAGCGUGGGGAUCAAACAG